UACGUAGGGCGCAAGCGUUGUCCGGAAUUAUUGGGCGUAAAGAGCUCGUAGGUGGCUUGUCACGUCGGGUGUGAAAGCUUGGGGCUUAACUCCAGGUCUGCAUUCGAUACGGGCUGGCUAGAGGUAGGUAGGGGAGAACGGAAUUCCUGGUGUAGCGGUGAAAUGCACAGAUAUCAGGAGGAACACCAGUGGCGAAGGCGGUUCUCUGGGCCUUACCUGACGCUGAGGAGCGAAAGCGUGGGGAGCGAACAGG
rnacentral:rRNA from 1 species